UACCCAUCCCAUGCGGGAAGGAUGAGAAGCUUCGACUAAGGUUCGAUUCGAGCGGAGCGAGAAAGCGUUGCCGCAGGCAACGACCCGAAGGGCGAGGCGCAAUUAUCAAAACCGUCUUAGUUAGCUC
rnacentral:sRNA from 1 species